rnacentral:tRNA from 1 species
GAUACAACUCAAUAGAGAAGCUUCUAACUUCAACUAAAAGCGAUUAUAACGUUUAUGUGUCU